rnacentral:rRNA from 1 species
AUUGAACGCUGGCGGCAGGCCUAACACAUGCAAGUCGAACGGCAGCACAGAAGAGCUUGCUCUUUGGGUGGCGAGUGGCGGACGGGUGAGUAAUGUCUGGGAAACUGCCCGAUGGAGGGGGAUAACUACUGGAAACGGUAGCUAAUACCGCAUAACGUCGCAAGACCAAAGUGGGGGACCUUCGGGCCUCACACCAUCGGAUGUGCCCAGAUGGGAUUAGCUAGUAGGUGGGGUAAUGGCUCACCUAGGCGACGAUCCCUAGCUGGUCUGAGGGGAUGACCGGCCACACUGGAACUGAGACACGGUCCAGACUCCUACGGGAGGCAGCAGUGGGGAAUAUUGCACAAUGGGCGCAAGCCUGAUGCAGCCAUGCCGCGUGUAUGAAGAAGGCCUUCGGGUUGUAAAGUACUUUCAGCGGGGAGGAAGGCGGUGAGGUUAAUAACCUCGCCGAUUGACGUUACCCGCAGAAGAAGCACCGGCUAACUCCGUGCCAGCCGCCGCAGUAAUAC